GCCGCCCACGGCGCGGCGGCAGGCGCGGGCGGGGGGAGGGAGGCUGGAGUGCUCGGAGGCCGCGGUGGGGCCAGGGGUGGGCGCGGCGGAGGGGGUGCGGCCGGCGGCCAACCCCCUGCGCGUCGCACUCGAGAGACGGACGCGCACGCGCUGCAUCCUCGCGCCCACGCGCUUGCCGUCGUCGUCGCCCCGCUCAUCCCGCCCCCCGCUCACGGCCAACGUCACCCCCUCCGACUACCGCACAUCGCGCCAAUGCCCCCGCCCGCCGCAAAUCGCGCCGCCACCCCCGCCUGCCGCACAGCACUGCCCCCAUCCGAAGUGCCACCGCCGCGCGACUGUACUACCGCGCUCGACCCUCCCGCAGGCAGUCCCGCCGUGACGCCCGACGCCGCGACGCUGUCCCCGCCGCGGAUUCCCCACGGGCGCGACGCCCGACGCCACGGCGGCCGCCAUCUCCGCCGCCGAUCCCCCACGCGCGGCGCGCGCGACUCCGGCCGCACCGUCGUGACUACCAUCGUUCCCGACGGCCCGCGCGCGACUCCCGCAUCCCCCACGCGUCGGCAGCAAAGGGUGAGGGCGGACGAUGAAAGCUCAUGAGAAGGCGAGGCGAGGGGAUGCAGCCCAAGAUUAGCGGGUUCUUCAAGCGGAAGAAAUGGCCCCCAGAUCCAAACAGUGGCGAUGGCGAGGGCCACGGGCAGGGAAGAGGCGGCAGCGCCGCAGCGGAGGAGAAGCGGAAGCCCAAGGGCGGCGGGCGCGGCAAGCUUGUUAGCAAGAAGAGGAGCUAUGCGUAGUUUCAUCUGGAGCUAGGGUGACCUGAUUUCGUCCUCCACACCUGCUCUGUCUGCAGCAUGAUGUACGCCCAUGGGAACGACAAUGGCGAAAAGGUUCACAAGGCUUACCAUAAGAGAUACUUCGAGGGAGUCCCGUUCAAGGUCUUGUCGCUCACUUGCUCUCUGCAUCAUAGUCUUGUUGCGUGCAUCUUUGGAGAGCGUCUUACUAACCGAUUAGCUGCAGAGCUAGCACAAUGAAACUGUGAUUGCAAGGUCUGAAGGCGGAGACCGGGUAAUUCUCACGAUUGAUGAAAAACUCUCAUAUGUGGAAUAUUGACAGGUCAAGGAGGUGAUCACAGUGGAGGAGAAGGAGCUGGGAUUUGCUGAAGGGAAACUCCUGCAUAAACUUUGCCAGGUAAUUACAUACUAUUGGUUCCUUUAUGAUAAUUUCUGCAGUAUAUUUAUCUUAUUUGGUAAUAAAAUCAAAUAAUCUUUUCAUUUGUGGCAUAUGGAAUUUCAUCAAUGGUACGGUCAGUUUUGAAUCGCAGCAGAAACAAGAGGUUGUGAUUGAGUUUUUGUGUGAUGAUCAUGUCAGUCCAUUAGAGUUAGGUACUGUAAUUUGGAUGCCAAGACCUUUUAGGUGCAAGGGGAUACAGGAUUGUCUUCAUUGAUGUUGAAUUAAUUUGAUGAAAAACUUGGACUUAGGUUAUGGUUGAUUUAAUUAGAUGCUCCUUUCCUGACCUGAUGUGCUCAAGUUUCAUCAGUUACGUACUCUGCUUAAUAGUAGCAAAUAUGACUUGUAUCAGUUUCAUAUAGUUUAUCAUGGAACCUGGUGUGCUCAGCCUGCAUACAGAGGUACAUUAUCUUUUAUUAGCAGCCAUUUUCAUGUUUAUAUAGGUUUUAGUAGCAUCAAGCAUCUCAACUACAUGAUAUUCUUAUCUGAUUCACUCAUAUUUUUUCUCAGGAAUGAUCGGCCUAAUUUAAAGUUCACUUCUUUUUUAUACCAACGAAGAUUUGUUUCCUUAUAUUACAUUUCUGGGUAAAUGCGUAAUGCAUGCCCAUAACCUGAUGCUAUUGUGCAAGUAUUUAAGUUCAUCUUCUCAGAUUUGGGUCCAUGAUAGUUGAGACAUUUGUUCAUGUGGCCUUAUCUCUCUGCAAACUCCUGAGUAAUGGUUUUAGGAUGGCAUGGCCAUAGAGAAAAGCUAUCAGGUUCACAUGGAUAACAAACUCAUCUUGAAAAAAUUGAUCAGAAUUCGAGUAGGAAUCCAGGCGGGAUCAUAUGCAGGAGAUGGUCACCGUUUGUUUGUUUAAGUGUGGAGAAGGUUGAUGAGUAAUGAAUCAAGAAUGACACGAAGAAAGACAUAGUGAAAAUGCCUCUAACCUGCAGGAGUAUGAGCCUUCGAUGAGAUCAUGCAUAUUUUAUAUUGGGUGGCUAUGGUCCGUCGCCCUCCCCCUCACUCCAAGAGUCCAGACAUUUGCCUCCGUCGUCGCACCAUCCCACCAAGCUCCCACCGUGCGUGGCAUGCCUCCCCACCAACCGCCGCUUUGCUGUAAACCCGCAGCCGCGCCGUCGCCCCAGUUCUGCCACGAGAUGCCGCGCCGAGUUACAUCGGAAAGGUGUUUGCCAUGUCUCGCGUUAUGGCGGCAUGGCAGCCAAUAGGCGUAUCAAUGGGAGUUUUUGACAUGUGCCAUAGGUGUAUAUCACAUCACCAUAUCUGCUUUUAGUUUAUUCAUUCUGAUCUAUGUAAGACUCCCAAUAUCUCUCCAUCUGUAGUUAUCUUUUUGAAAGAAAUAAAGAAAGCAAUUUGGAGCUCCAGUGGAAGCUUUUCAGCUCAACCAAGAAAAGCUUGUUCGGAUGCUCGGCAACAUUCAGACCAUGGUUCUCGUUGGCUGGCGACUGUGAGUCAGGCAAAAUGGCAUCAGGCCAUAGUAGUUUAGGCAAGGUUUGUAAGUUGCAAUAUAGCCAGCAAUGGUUGAACGGUUCGCUCAUCUUGAGCCCGGUGAUGUUUUCAUAAUUAGUUUUUUUUCCCGAGGACCAGGCCAAAGUUAUAUGCCGACUAUAUCAGAAAGAAGAUUGAGGUUGCCAGAGCUAUUCGAAUCAUU